UACGUAGGGGGCUAGCGUUGUCCGGAAUCAUUGGGCGUAAAGAGCGUGUAGGCGGCUUUGCAAGUGCGGCGUGAAAGUCCUGGGCUCAACCUGGGGACGGCGCUGCGGACUGCAUGGCUGGAGUCCGGAAGAGGGUGGUGGAAUUCCGAGUGUAGAGGUGAAAUUCGUAGAUAUUCGGAGGAACACCGGUGGCGAAGGCGGCCACCUGGUCCGGCACUGACGCUGUAGCGCGAAAGCGUGGGGAGCAAACAGG
rnacentral:rRNA from 1 species